GACGAACGCUGGCGGCGUGCCUAACACAUGCCAGUCGAGCGGGGAUUUAAGUGGAAGUUCUUCGGAAUGGAGAUUUAAAUUCUAGCGGCGGACGGGUGAGUAACGCGUGAACAAUCUGUCCCGGACAGGGGGAUAACACUUGGAAACAGGUGCUAAUACCGCAUAAGACCACGGCCUCGCAUGGGGCUGAGGUAAAAGGAGCAAUCCGGUUCGGGGUGAGUUCGCGUCCGAUUAGCUAGUUGGUGAGGUAACGGCCCACCAAGGCGACGAUCGGUAGCCGGCCUGAGAGGGUGAACGGCCACAUUGGAACUGAGAGACGGUCCAAACUCCUACGGGAGGCAGCAGUGGGGAAUAUUGGGCAAUGGGCGAAAGCCUGACCCAGCAACGCCGCGUGAGGGAAGAAGGUUUUCGGAUUGUAAACCUCUGUCCUAUGGGACGAAGGAAGUGACGGUACCAUAGGAGGAAGCCCCGGCUAACUACGUG
rnacentral:rRNA from 1 species